GUAGGCGAUGGAUAACAGGUUGAUAUUCCUGUACCACCUAUAAUCGUUUUAAUCGAUGGGGGGACGCAGUAGGAUAGGCGAAGCGUGCGAUUGGAUUGCACGUCUAAGCAGUAAGGCUGAGUAUUAGGCAAAUCCGGUACUCGUUAAGGCUGAGCUGUGAUGGGGAGAAGACAUUGUGUCUUCGAGUCGUUGAUUUCACACUGCCGAGAAAAGCCUCUAGAUAGAAAAUAGGUGCCCGUACCGCAAACCGACACAGGUAGUCAAGAUGAGAAUUCUAAGGUGAGCGAGCGAACUCUCGUUAAGGAACUCGGCAAAAUGACCCCGUAACUUCGGGAGAAGGGGUGCUCUUUAGGGUUAACGCCCAGAAGAGCCGCAGUGAAUAGGCCCAAGCGACUGUUUAUCAAAAACACAGGUCUCUGCUAAACCGUAAGGUGAUGUAUAGGGGCUGACGCCUGCCCGGUGCUGGAAGGUUAAGAGGAGUGGUUAGCUUCUGCGAAGCUACGAAUCGAAGCCCCAGUAAACGGCGGCCGUAACUAUAACGGUCCUAAGGUAGCGAAAUUCCUUGUCGGGUAAGUUCCGACCCGCACGAAAGGCGUAACGAUUUGGGCACUGUCUCAACGAGAGACUCGGUGAAAUCAUAGUACCUGUGAAGAUGCAGGUUACCCGCGACAGGACGGAAAGACCCCGUGGAGCUUUACUGUAGCCUGAUAUUGAAAUUCGGCACAGCUUGUACAGGAUAGGUAGGAGCCUUUGAAACGUGAGCGCUAGCUUACGUGGAGGCGCUGGUGGG
rnacentral:rRNA from 1 species